rfam:Ovis aries breed Texel chromosome 9, whole genome shotgun sequence.
UCCCUAGUGGCUUAGACGGUAAAGCGUCUGUCUGCAAUGCAGGAGACCCGGGUUUGAUCUCUGGGAUGGGAA